rnacentral:tRNA from 1 species
GUUUAUUUAACUAAAUUAAGUGUUUACUUUGAAAGUAAAAAAUAGAAAUAUCUAAUAAGCU